AUUGAACGCUGGCGGCAGGCCUAACACAUGCAAGUCGAACGGUAACAGGAAUCAGCUUGCUGAUUUGCUGACGAGUGGCGGACGGGUGAGUAAUGUCCGGGAAACUGCCUGAUGGAGGGGGAUAACUACUGGAAACGGUAGCCAAUACCGCAUAACGUCGCAAGACCAAAGAGGGGGACCUUCGGGCCUCUUGCCAUCGGAUGUGCCCAGAUGGGAUUAGCUAGUAGGUGGGGUAACGGCUCACCUGGGCGACGAUCCCUAGCUGGUCUGAGAGGAUGACCAGCCACACUGGAACUGAGAAACGGUCCAGACUCCUACGGGAGGCAGCAGUGGGGAAUAUUGCACAAUGGGCGCAAGCCUGAUGCAGCCAUGCCGCGUGUAUGAAGAAGGCCUUCGGGUUGUAAAGUACUUUCAGCGGGGAGGAAGGUGUUGCGGUUAAUAACCGCAGCAAUUGACGUUACCCGCAGAAGAAGCACCGGCUAACUCCGUGCCAGCAGCCGCCGUAA
rnacentral:rRNA from 1 species